GAUGAACGCUGGCGGCGUGCCUAAUACAUGCAAGUCGAGCGAACGGACGAGAAGCUUGCUUCUCUGAUGUUAGCGGCGGACGGGUGAGUAACACGUGGAUAACCUACCUAUAAGACUGGGAUAACUUCGGGAAACCGUAGCUAAUACCGGAUAAUAUUUUGAACCGCAUGGUUCAAAAGUGAAAGACGGUCUUGCUGUCACUUAUAGAUGGAUCCGCGCUGCAUUAGCUAGUUGGUAAGGUAACGGCUUACCAAGGCAACGAUGCAUAGCCGACCUGAGAGGGUGAUCGGUCACGCUGGAACGGAGAGCCGGUCCAGACUCCUAGGGGAGGCAGCUGCAGGGGAUCUUGCGCAUUGGGCGAGAGGUUGACGGAGGGAGGGCGCGGGAGUGGUAAAGGUGCUCGGAUCGUAAAAGUCGGUUAUUGGUGAAGAACAUAUUUGUAAGUAACUGUGCACAUCGUGACGGUACCUAACCAGAAGGCCACGACUAACUACGUG
rnacentral:rRNA from 1 species